UGCCAUUGAUGAAGAGAUUGUAUUGUAUAAUUUAUGACUAGUCAUGAGUACAACCAUACUACUGCCUUCCUUCUGAGGCU